UACGUAGGGUGCGAGCGUUAAUCGGAAUUACUGGGCGUAAAGCGUGCGCAGGCGGGCUUUUAAGCCAGACGUGAAAUCCCCGGGCUUAACCUGGGAAUGGCGUUUGGGACUGGAAGUCUGGAGUGCGGCAGAGGAGACUGGAAUUCCUGGUGUAGCAGUGAAAUGCGUAGAUAUCAGGAAGAACACCCGUGGCGAAGGCGGCUCUCUGGUACGUGACUGACGCUGAGACGCGAAAGCGUGGGGAGCAAACAGG
rnacentral:rRNA from 1 species